rnacentral:rRNA from 1 species
AUGUCCACUGUUACAACUUGUGGCUUAUGUGGAGCAGAAGAUUCAUGGCAACACUCGCUCAUUCACUGCAAUGUUGCUAGGUGUGUAUGGGCUCUUCAAGAUCCUGAUCUGUUUCAGGUUUUGAAUGAGACCACCGAACCUGAUGCAAAGCGGUGGAUUUUUGCACUCACGGAGUCCCUUCUUACAGCUGAAUUCACUCAGGUUUUAACUACCCUUUGGGCCAUUUGGUAUUCUCGGCGACAAGCCCUAUAUGAACAUAUUUUCCAGAGUCCGCUGGCUAUUCAUCAUUUUAUUAUGAAGUACAUCCGUGAGCUUGAAGAGUGUAGACCAAAGAAGAUGCAGCAAGUGGCCAAUACAUCCAGCAACAACGCCAUAUCAAGAUGGGUCCAUCCCUCUGAAGGUAUAGCAAAAAUUCGAGUCGAUGGUGCUGUUUCAAGAUCUGCGAAGGAAGGAACCUAUAGUGCAAUAUGCAGGGACCAUGAUGGCAAAUACUUGGGCUCAUCAGCCAUCAAAGUCUCGGGUAUCAUGGACCCGGGGACUCUCGAGACGUUAGCUUGUCGCGAGGCGCUUGCUCUAGCCCUGGAUCUUGGGCUUCCAAAUGUACUUGUUGCUUCAGAUUGUAAAGUUGUGGUGAACGACAUCAAGCUAGGCACGGGAGGUAUAUAUGAAAGCAUAGUGAAGGAAAUAAGAAAUACGUCCGAGCAAUUUCAGCAAUGCACCUUCAUCUUCGAAGGUCACGGUACUAAUCUUGAGGCGCAUAGCCUUGUUAAGCACACCUUUGGUCUGGACUUAGGGCGUCAUUUGUGGCUUAUAAACCCUCCAGACUUGAAUUGUAUCCCUAUCAACAUUUUAGAGUAA